AGGCGCGGCGAGGCGGGUGGCGCGCGGCAGCAGGGUUGGGCUCUCGCCGUGAGUCGACGAAGGGAGCGCGGGCGCGCGCCCGCGUCCGCGCACUGAGAGUCGCCUCGGCCGCUCGCUUUCUCGACUCCCGCCUCGCGCCUCGAUCCUGUUCCGCCUCCCUCGGCCCUCCUGCCCGCCCCCACUCGUCGGCCCUCAGCUCAGAGACCUAAUAGGAUGGGGUCUUAGAGAAACAUCUUUUGAGCCACAGACUUCUUUGUUACCAGAAGGAAAAUGAAAGAAGAAAUUUAAAUACCACUUGAAGAGAGAGAGUGUGAAGAAAUGACCCUGAAAAGCCUCUGGCAGAGGAUUCUUCUUUCAGGAUGGUGUCGCCUCCUCAGCAGCCCAUCCUCCUCCCCUGGACUCAAGCUCUCAUUCCAGUAACACUCCUUCCUCCUUCUCCAUCUUCAGGGGGAGGUUUGCCAGUCGGUGGGUUCUAAGCAUAUCUCGCUGAUUCCCCCCAACCCUGCCGACACCUCUGUAGGUCGUCCCUUCAUUAAAAUCUCUCCAUUUGAACUAUCUGAGUUUAAUUCCAUUUCCUCCUGGUAUCUCAGUGAUACACGGUAUCAGUACAAAAAUCUCGCUUCACCUUCAGAACCAACAGAUUUGAGACAUUUUAUCCUCUGUGGAACCAUUAGUUAUUUUGUCAUUGGUUGUAUCAGAAAAAAAAAUCAGGAAUGCAAAUCCUUCUUUAUUACAAAUUCAGAUUUGCAUAUUACCAAUGUUAUAUAUUUUAAACAAAACUAUUCAUCAUAAGUUUUAAAAAUUAACUACUGGAGUAGUUAAUGAAUCUGAAUGUAAUUAUGUAGCUUUCAUAAUAUUAAAGUAAAAAUACUAAAAGAAGUAUUUCUUAAAGAAGCAAAUGCUCAAUCUCCAAGUAAAUUUUAUUCUAUGCUCUUCCGGUAUAAGAAUAUGUUAAUAUCUUGAAAAAUAUCAUAUUAUUUUGUGAACUCAUAAAGCUAUUUUGAGUUUUUGUAAAAUGAAAACCUUACCAAAAUGUAUUUUAUUGUUGGAAAGCUUGACCGUUACUGCUGUUUAAUUUUUUGAGCUUGUAAACUUUAUUUGUGCAUGUUUUCAACAAAGAAGGAUUUUAUUGUUAUUACAUAAAACAGGUGAUUUCUAGAUUUUAAAAUCACAAAUUGAAAGCAAGGCACAAUAAUAUAUAUUUCAAGAUAUAGGUACUUAGGAGGCAUCCUUUUAGUCAUCUGUUCAAUGUAGCCAUCUAUUUUACACCUACUGUCUACUAUUGUUUGAGGUCCUUGCCAAAGUAUUGCAGGCUAGUUAGGAAACAUAAAACAAUUAGAAAGUAAUCUAUGACAAGUAAGCUAUCUAUAAAUGGCAAUGAAGGGUAGAACAAAUUCAAUGAAAAUAUCUAUUUAAUCCUAGUGUUUACUGGUCUAGAAGAAUAGGCUGAGUAAAUUAGUAUUUCUCUGGCUGUUGUGGUAACACAUUGCAUGCUAUAACAGUUUUAAGUAAUUACAGGUGCAUUGAAAUUUAUCUAUGGCUUUGUCAUCAUAUUCUAAAAUGUCAUGAGUACUUUUUUCUGACCUCAAUUACUAUGAAAUUGGUUUCCAAUAUUUAAUUAACCAAGAAUAUCAAGUCUAUAGGGUAUUAUUAAGGUGAGACUUCUGUAGCCUUUUCAAUAAAGACCAGAAUUUUGGAGUGCCUUGAACCUUAAUCAUUGAUCUUUAAUUCUUAUUAAGUCAACUGCCCACCUUUUAAAGACUGAGGCCCAGGAAGAGUAAGUUUCUCUGAGACAAUGCAUACAGUACAGUGCUUCUUGGGUAUUGGCUCUAAGACCAGAUGCAAAGAAAGGCUAAAAUCCCAUUUCAUUGUUCAUUAGGUGAGAACCCUUUGUUAAGCUGUGUAACCUCUGUGCAUAGUUUCCUCAUCAGCAAAGUCAGAAAAAGUAUGUACCUGAAGGACUGAUUGUAAGGCUGGGAUGAGAGAAUCCAUGUGAUCAGCCCUCACCAACAGGUGCUGCCCAGUUCAUGAGUGCUGCUGCUGUCCUGCCCAAGUACCCAGCUUGCAGAGUGCCAGAGUUAGAGUCCCAGGGGUGUUCUCCACAGCUGCAUGCUUGAUCCAGGCCUAUCAGAUAUAUUCCAUUGAAAGUCCUCAUUCUCAAAUUUAAAACAAAGACUUUUUGUGUACCUCAAUAGCAAUGCACACACAGUUGGCUUCACAAACAUAUUGUACAUUUCUUUUUUUCAUAUUUAUUCAACAAAUGUAUAUUGACUACCCACCAUGUGACAGGUGUUAUUUGUUGGCGGAACCAGGCAUCAUCAGCAAACAAAACUGACAAAGCUUCCUGCCCUCUGUGGAAGGCAUCUGAGGAAGAGACUGGAUUUUGUAGCAACAUGUUAUUCUCAUUAUAAACUUUAUCAUUGGAAUACUAAAGCCAAAUCAUCCCCCAUCUCCUUGAUCAGGAUACCCACUUAAUCUAGGCAGCUACACAAUUGUGAGAGCCUUUGUUUUUUUCUGCUGAAACAUCCUUAAAAAGAUACCUCACAACCCAAGAUUUGGCUUUUCUUAAAUACGAUUUUUAAUUUUUUUCAUUUCUAUCUAGAGAUUUAAUUGGAAAUGGAAAAUCAUCAAUUUUCCAAUUAAAUGUCUGUUCCAAUCAACAUUAUACCUUUUAGGUUGUCAUUGUCAUUUUUAAGUUUAAGCAACUUUAAGGAUUUUGAAUCUGGCUGCCUGUAAAUUAAAGGUGAAAGUAAUCAUUGUGUUGGAUUGGUACAUUUUGUCAAUUGAGAGUGGUUUCCUUGUUCUUAGUGUAUGAAAAGUUUAUUUUUCUAAUGUAGAUUAAUAAAGGAGAUAAAGAAAAACAAAAUGAGU
rnacentral:sRNA from 1 species